GAUGAUGAUGAUGAUGAUGAUGAUGAUGAUGAUGAUGAUGAUGGCUUCACUUUUCCAACAGCAAAGAGGAAGGAACCAACCUUCAACUCAUCUGGGCAAACAUUUGGUUUCUGCAAAAUACUCCUGUAAUUGCAGUAGGUCCAGAAGAUCAUAAAUGCCCCACUGGGAGAGGGAGUAGUUCCAGCCUUUUAAACAGUAAUAUGAAAGACCGCUUCUGAAGAAACCAAACAGGACUGAGAGGAUGAAAACAACUACAGGCCUGUGGUCAACAUUCCCUUUCUAGGCAGGUGUUGACUGAUAAACUCCAGGCUCUCUUGGAUAAAGCUGAUGUUCUGGAUCCAUUUUAAUCCUGUUUCAGGCUUGGCUAUGGAACAGAAACUACCUUGGUCACCCUGUGGAAUGACCUACAGUGGGAAAAAGACAGAGGGAGUGUAUCCCUAUUGGUCCUCCUGUACCUUUUAGUGACUUUUAUUAUCAUUGACCUUGGUAUCCUCCUAAACAGGCUGUCAGAAUUGGAUAUGAAGGCAUUACAGUGGUUCUGUUCCUACUUGGAUUACCAUUUCCAGAAGAUGGUGCUGAGAAAUUACUCUUCUUCCUCAUAGUGAUUGGGUUAUAGAAUCCUUCAUAUUAUGUCCUAUGCUUCUUAACAUCUACAUGAAACUGCUGGGAGAGAGCAUCUGGGGAUUUGGGCUGAGGUGCCAUCAAUAUGUGGAUGAUACUUAAUUAUAUUUGUAUUUUUCAUCUACACAUGCAAGGUGGUUGGCAUUCUGAACCAGUACAGGAUAAUGGACUGGAUAAGGGCCAAUAAAUUGAGACUCAGUCCGGACUAUAUGGAGAUACUGUUGUAAGUGAUGCAUCUGUUCACCUGAGUGAUGUCCUGUCUUGGAGGAGUCUGCACUCUCCCUAAAGGAGCAGUAGGUUGGGGGUGCUCCUAGACCCAUCAUUGUCACCAGAGGACCAGGUGGCCUCAGUUGCACAAAGUGCUUUUCAUCAGCAUCAGCUGAUUUAUCAACUCUGACCUUACCUGCACAGAGACAGCUUUGCAAUGGACAUUCAUGCUCUGAUCAUUUGUGAUCAGUAAGAGAAAUACAUUGUACAUAAGAAGAAAGACACUGUACAUAAUAUCAGAAAUCACAUCAAAAUAUUCCGGUUCUGUUAGACAUUCCAUCACGUAGAGAGACUUCAGAAGUACUCAAUGAAAUGGACCAACCUGGAUGUACUUUCAUCAGCAAUGGGGGAAAAAGUUGGCUCUCCAGUAUGACUGAUGUUUGCCUUGACUAUAUAGACAGAUAGAAGAGAAUACAUGUUACCUAGCACUGAAGAUAUUACCUAGCUGGGUAACGAAACGUCUGCUAGAAAACAACCAAGCUCAGAGAACCCCAAGGACUCCACAAUAUAUAGAUAGACAUUGCAAGAGUUACUUGGAGCAUGGCAAAAUAACUGCAGUACCUGGAGAAAAAAUUACCAUCAAUUCAUUGCAAACAAAGAAAAUAUAGAUAUGAGAACUGAGCUUCAGACUAAUUUGGAUCUGGGGACAUUUAAUAUCCAUCUUAAAAAGAACUUGGUAUACCUUGUUCACAAUGAGAAAGUAUACUGCUUGAAGAGAAUCUCAGGGCUAUAUAUAAAAGCAAAUAAGUUAUGUUCCCAAAGCUGUCAAAUGUGAGAAUUAUGUUCUACUUUAUAAUUUGCCUCAUCUAAAAUUAGUAGUUGUAUUUUUGUAUAAACAAUGAACAGAAGCAAUCUUUAUAAUAUAUCUCUGCAAAACAUAAUAUAUGCAGCACAAAAGAUUGUUCCUUAAAAUUAUGCACUGGGGAAUGAAGAACCAAUUUUUGACCUGGCAGAUACAGGAUGCAUAAUUAGGCACAAGCAUGACAACAUGCUAAGAAACUUUAUUAGAAGGGGGUGCCAUUUUAGCUUUGUGCUAAAACGAAGCAGCUUAUUUAUGCAUUCACCGAGUGAUGGCUUUUUCUAAGUUUUACUCUCUCUUUUUUUAACUUUCUGAGUAGGAGAAAUAGGUUCCGCAAGUGAAAUGCUUUCAUCCAUUUUAACAUUAUUAGUUGCAAAAAGGGACAUUUCAUCUACAAAUAUCUUCUUCUAUUGCUUUACAGAAGUGAGCUGCACACAUUAAUUAUAUCCAGAGGGAUCAUAACUUUUAUUGCUGUUGAUGAUAUUUGCUUUAAUGAACUGUGUACUUCUAAUACGCCUUUUAUGUUCUGUUGGUAUUAGUUUAUCCUAACUAUCACGUGAGUGCCAAGUUUAAAUGCAAACACAUACACACCCGCUCUCUUCUUCUUGUUUCCUUCUUGUUGUUGUCCAUUGCUUAAGCGUAUGGAUCGGCUUCUUUUUUAUUGCUGUUGUUAGAUUUUAUGGAAAAGGAAUGAAAUAUUAUAGAUAUUCCUUUUUAAAGUGACAUUUCCUUUUUAAGUCCUUGGAGAUUCUGUUGCCAUUCAUAGAGCAUACAUGAGCUUUGGAACAAGCUGAGGUGAUAACUUGGGUAAGAGCUUAAAAUAUUUAAGAAACUAAAAGCACAGCUAUUACUUUCCACUUUUCUCACAUCAGAUAUUUGUGUCUGGAAAGAGCUUAGCUGAAUUGUACUUGAAGCAAAUAAAGCAGGUGGCCAAGUAAUAAAUCACAGCACAAGUAGACCUUGGGUUACAAUGGCAACUGGGAUUCGAAUUGCUGCCGCUAAGGGUCAUGGUCAUAAAGUAUGACAUUAUGUGAUUGUGCUGCUUAGCAAUGGCAGUUCCAGCAGUCCUGGUUGCUGUUGAUAAGUGAGGACCAUGAGGGUCAU